GACGAGUGAACUUCUUCAUCCAUUGUUGUAAGUGUCGAAACAUUGCCUGAAGAGGCUGGACGUUCAUAGCUUGGGGGGUUCACUUGCCCCUGGAAUCGGGCACGAAAGACAGGACUUUCUUGAGCAUGAGGUCCCUCGGAACACACGAGGCUUGACCUUCUUGUUGAAUGCUUUUUCACUCUCUGCUGAUAUGACUGACCAUGACACAUGGCAGUUGAUCUCUUCCUUUCGAUCGAAUUCAGCAUCAGCCAACUUGGGAC
rnacentral:lncRNA from 1 species